CUAGGGUACUACAUAAAUUACCACUGAGCUAGUCGCUUUUUUCUGUGCUUUCCCUGUUUGAAGAGGAUGGAAGUAGCUGAUUCCUUUCUAAUUAUUAUUUGAAGGUGCAGUCUGGAAUCCAUUGUUGAGGGAAUAGACCCCGAUUAAAGAAAACGGGGAGAAUAUUUUCAUGUUUAGCAAAGGCUCUGAUAGGCAAUGCAUCUGCCCUUUGCUUCCAUAUUCUAAUGUGUACUCCAUUGUGUACCAUAUUAAGAAACCGGUAAGUAGAUAGAAUUUCAAGAUCUAAAGCUUACACACAAUGUUAUCAGUA
rnacentral:lncRNA from 1 species